AUGGAGGCAAUGGCCGCGAAACUAGUAUUCCCCCAGGACAACCCACCACUUUCCAUCAUUUCUGCUGCUAAGAUUGCAGGUGUUCCCAUAACCACUGAUCCCUGCCUCCCAUCAGGUUCAGUGCCCACACUACACUUUGGUUCUGGGGACUUUAUACAUGGCGUCAACACAGUUCUUCGUUAUAUUGCCCGUACUACAUCUGUUUCCAGCUUCUAUGGCGAGGACGCUAUUCAGGCAGCACGUGUUGAUGAAUGGCUCGAGUACGCACCACUCAUUCUUUCAGGCUCUGAAUUCGAUGCUGCUUGCUCAUUUCUUGAUGGAUACUUGGCAUCUCGAACAUUUUUGGUUGGUCAUGGUCUGACAGUUGCUGAUAUUGUAGUGUGGGCAAACCUCAGAGGAGCUGGUCAACGAUGGGAAAGUUUAAGGAGGUCAAGUAAGUACCAAAACCUUGUCCGUUGGUUCAACAACGUGGCUGUAGACUAUGCACUAGAAGAAGUUACAUCUGCUUAUGUUGGAAAGCAAGCAAUUGGCAAAUCUCCCGCACCAUGCCUGAACCAAAAGAUGCAUGGCUUGGAAAAUAUCUCAGUUCAUGAGAUAGAUCUCCCAGGUGCAAAAGUUGGGGAGGUUUGCGUACGUUUUGCCCCAGAGCCUAGCGGGUAUCUCCACAUUGGGCAUGCUAAGGCUGCACUGUUGAACCAGUAUUUUGCAGAUAGAUAUAAAGGACGUCUUUUAGUUCGAUUUGAUGACACAAAUCCUUCAAAAGAAAGCAGUGAAUUUGUUGAGAACGUCCUGAAGGAUAUUGAGACGCUUGGGGUUCAAUACGAUGCAGUUACAUACACAUCGGUUUAUUUCCCAAAGCUAAUGGAGAUGGCUGAAUGUUUGAUUAAGCAGGGAAAGGCAUAUGUUGAUGAUACACCCAAGGAUAACAUGAAUACUGAAAGGAGGGACGGUGUGGAAUCUAAAUGUAGAAACAGCACUGUUGAGGAGAACUUGUUGUUGUGGAGUGAGAUGGUUAAUGGUACCAAGAGGGGUACUCAGUGCUGUGUGCGUGGUAAACUUGACAUGCAGGACCCCAACAAAUCACUUCGAGAUCCUGUUUACUACCGUUGCAACCCUGAUCCCCAUCAUCGUGUUGGCUCAAAAUACAAGGUCUAUCCAACAUAUGACUUUGCAUGCCCAUUUGUUGACGCAUUGCAAGGAGUGACUCAUGCUCUUCGUUCAAGUGAGUAUCAUGAUCGGAACGCACAGUACUACCGUAUCCUUCAGGACAUGGGGCUGCGGAGGGUUGAACUCUAUGAGUUCAGCAGACUGAAUAUGGUUUAUACCGUUCUUAGCAAGCGCACGCUUCGCUGGUUUGUACAAAACAAGAAGGUGGAGGACUGGACUGACGCACGCUUUCCCACUGUACAAGGCAUAUUACGUCGUGGCUUGAAGAUUGAAGCCUUGAUCCAGUUUAUACUCGAGCAGGGUGCUUCAAAGAAUCUGAAUCUCAUGGAAUGGGAUAAACUCUGGACAAUCAACAAGAAGAUAAUUGAUCCAGUCUGUGGAAGGCAUACUGCUGUGCUGAAGGACAAAAGUGUGCCCUUGAUACUCACUAAUGGCCCAGAGGUACCAUUCAUUAGAAUUUUACCUAGGCACAAGAAAUGCAAGGGUGCUGGAAAUAAGGCUAUAACGUUCGCAAACAGAAUUUGGCUAGAGUAUGCUGAUGCAUCAGCCAUUAGCGUGGGUGAGGAGGUCACUUUGAUGGACUGGGGAAGUGUUAUCAUUAAAGAAAUCAAGACAGAUGAUGGAACAAUUACUCAACUAGUUGGUGAGCUCCAUCCUGACGGGUCAGUGAAGAUGACAAAGCUGAAGCUAACAUGGCUAUCAGAUACUGAAGACCUUGUGUCUCUCUCUUUGGUGGAUUUUGACUACCUAAUCAUCAAUAAAAAGCUUCAACUGGGAGAAGAUGAUAAACCCGGAGGUGAGAAGUUUCUUGAAAAUCUUAACCCAUGCACCCGACGAGAAGCUUUAGCUCUUGGAGACCCAAACAUGCGGAACAUCAAGCGAGGAGAAGUUAUACAGCUCGAAAGGAAAGGCUAUUACAGGUGUGAUGUUCCAUUUGUCGGGUCAUCGAAACCAAUCAUGCUUUUUGCCAUUCCCGAUGGCCGACUGAAGUCCACGUCGAUUGUCUCUGGAGCCUAG
rnacentral:rRNA from 1 species